rnacentral:lncRNA from 1 species
ACCAUCAACAGAUACACGGCAACAGCUGCAUCAUGAGUAUCUGAAUGCUAUGAUUAUGCAUGCAUGCAUGAUACCUAAGAAUGUAUGAUGAAUGCUGACAAACAGACGUGCUCAACACACAGGUCUGGGAAUCAACCAUCCGGUACCACUCUUCCGGAGGGAAAACCAAAGUCACCAGAGAGACGAGAAAAUCCACUGGAGACUGGGAUAUCAGGGAGCAACACC